rnacentral:misc_RNA from 1 species
AUUAACAUGUAAUGGUCUUGGGAUCAGGCAUUCAAUCUGGUAAUUGAAAACUGCUAUGCAUUUUUAACGCAGCGGCUGUUAUUCAUACAUGGCAGCACUAUUAAAUUUGCCAAGUCUCCAUUUGCUAUUAGCAGCAUAUUGAGAAUGGAAUGAAGAGUUUGAUGCGUUUUGUAAACAUAGUAGACAUUGAUAGUUUAAUAUUAGUGUUACAUCUUAUAUUUGCCAGCUUAUCUCUUUUAAGGGAUGUGAUCUUGCUGCUAUUUUGGUGAUAUUUAAUAGCCUCUUAUUAGUUUGGUUGUUGGAGUGAUUGUUUGUUUUAUUAACAAGCAAAACAGCUGUUAGAGAAUAAUUGGGGUUUGA